UACGGAGGGGGCAAGCGUUGUCCGGAAUCAUUGGGCGUAAAGAGCGCGUAGGCGGCGCAGUAAGUCCGCUCUGAAAGUCAGGGGCUCAACCCCUGGAUGCGGGUGGAUACUGCUGGGCUAGAGUCCGGAAGAGGCGAGUGGAAUUCCUGGUGUAGCGGUGAAAUGCGCAGAUAUCAGGAGGAACACCGAUGGCGAAGGCAGCUCGCUGGGCCGGUCCUGACGCUGAGGCGCGAAAGCGUGGGGAGCAAACAGG
rnacentral:rRNA from 1 species